rnacentral:rRNA from 1 species
GAAAAGAAACCAACAGGGAUUGCCCUAGUAACGGCGAGUGAAGCGGCAACAGCUCAAAUUUGAAAUCUGGCCUCGGCCCGAGUUGUAAUUUGCAGAGGAUGUUUCUGGCGCGGUGCCUUCCGAGUUCCCUGGAACGGGACGCCACAGAGGGUGAGAGCCCCGUAUGGUCGGACACCAAGCCUGUGUGAAACUCCUUCGACGAGUCGAGUAGUUUGGGAAUGCUGCUCUAAAUGGGAGGUAAAUCUCUUCUAAAGCUAAAUACCGGCCAGAGACCGAUAGCGCACAAGUAGAGUGAUCGAAAGAUGAAAAGCACCUUGAAAAGGGGGUUAAAUAGUACGUGAAAUUGUUGAAAGGGAAGCACUUAUGACCAGACUUGGGCCGGGCGGCUCAUCAGGGGUUCUCCCCUGUGCACUCCGCCCGGCACAGGCCAGCAUCGGUUCCCGUGGGGGGAUAAGACCGCCGGGAACGUAGCACCCUCCGGGGUGUGUUAUAGCCCGGCGGACGAUACCCCCGUGGGGACCGAGGUUCGCGCUCCGCAAGGAUGCUGGCGUAAUGGUCAUCAGUGACCCGUCUUGAAACACGGACCAAGGAGUCGUCCAUUAGAGCGAGCGUUUGGGUGCAAAACCCGCACGCGUAAUGAAAGUGAACGCAGGUGAGAGCUUCGGCGCAUCAUCGACCGAUCCUGAUGUUCUCGGAAGGAUUUGAGUAAGAGUUUUAACGGACGGACCCGAAAGACAGUGAACUAUGCUUGUAUAGGGUGAAGCCAGAGGAAACUCUGGUGGAGGCUCGCAGCGGUUCUGACGUGCAAAUCGAUCGUCAAAUAUGAGCAUAGGGGCGAAAGACCAAUCGAACUGUCUAGUAGCUGGUUACCGCCGAAGUUUCCCUCAGGAUAGCAGUGUUGAUCUUCAGUUUUAUGAGGUAAAGCGAAUGAUUAGGGACUCGGGGGCUAUAUAUUGCCUUCAUCCAUUCUCAAACUUUAAAUAUGUAAGAAGCCCUUGUUACUUAAUUGAACGUGGGCAUUCGAAUGUACCAACACUAGUGGGCCAUUUUUGGUAAGCAGAACUGGCGAUGCGGGAUGAACCGAACGCGGGGUUAAGGCGCCAGAGUGUACGCUCAUCAGACACCACAAAAGGCGUUAGUACAUCUUGACAGCAGGACGGUGGCCAUGGAAGUCGGAAUCCGCUAAGGACUGUGUAACAACUCACCUGCCGAAUGUACUAGCCCUGAAAAUGGAUGGCGCUCAAGCGUACCGCCCAUACCCCGCCCCCAGGGUAGAAACGAUGCCCUGGGGAGUAGGCGGCCGUGGGGGUCUGUGACGAAGCCUAGGGCGUGAGCCCGGGUCGAACGGCCC